rnacentral:rRNA from 1 species
UACAGAGGUCUCAAGCGUUGUUCGGAUUCAUUGGGCGUAAAGGGUGUGUAGGUGGCGCGCUAAGUCGGGUGUGAAAACUCCAGGCUCAACCUGGAGACGCCACCCGAUACUGCCAUGGCUAGAGUCCGGUAGGGGACCACGGAAUUCCUGGUGUAGCGGUGAAAUGCGCAGAUAUCAGGAGGAACACCGGUGGCGAAGGCGGUGGUCUGGGCCGGAACUGACGCUGAGGAGCGAAAGCGUGGGGAGCGAACAGG